rnacentral:pre_miRNA from 1 species
UCCCUCCUUCGUCCGGUGUUCGAGGCGUGAGACUUUUGUAUUGCCGCGUCGAGCACCGUGCUGGAGGAAGGA